CACUUUCCGCGGGCAGAGCGNUACGAACCGGCUUCGGGACGUUCAGAAGCCCGGGGGGGAANGGUAGGCGCGCCUNUCGGGGGUGCGCUGUUACAGCCCUCCCGCGGUGGGCCGUUCUGGGCCGAGGAACGACCGUUGCCUUUAGGCUACCAGGCUUUCCUUGGGGAGUUCGACUGGCGGGGACUGGGCAACCGUGCCCCGCCGACCGCUCCCUAGGACGGGCAGGGACAGCCGGGGCGACAUUGGGUCUGUGGCGAAUCUGUCGGCCUUCCACCCGACCCGUCUUGAAACACGGACCAAGGAGUCUAACAUGUGCGCGAGUCAUUGGGCUGUACGAAACCUAAAGGCGAAGUGAAAGCGAGGGUCGUCUCGGGCUGACCCAGGUGGGAUCCGUGUUCCACUCGUGGAGUGCGGCGCACCACCGGCCCGUCCCGUCUGCGGUGUCAGUGGGGCGGAGCAUGAGCGCACACGCUGGGACCCGAAAGAUGGUGAACUAUGCCUGAGUAGAACGAAGCCAGAGGAAACUCUGGUGGAAGUCCGUAGCGAUUCUGACGUGCAAAUCGAUCGUCAAACUUGGGUAUAGGGGCGAAAGACUAAUCGAACCAUCUAGUAGCUGGUUCCCUCCGAAGUUUCCCUCAGGAUAGCUGGCGCUCGAUCGCAGUUUUAUCCGGUUUAGGUUANGCCGAGACGUUUAAGCAUGGGGAUACCUCAANACUUCUCAAACUUCAACCUGGUAAAAAGUCAAGGUUUCAUGGAAAAAGCGGAGCAAAUCAACCAAAACUUAGGUACACCCGCUUAGGUCGACCCGCUGAACUUAAGCAGUAUAGUUUUCGAGUGUUGAAUAUUCAUUUUAUGACAGUCCAAACAGUCUGGCAGACGCCGACCCAGCUGAUUCCCGCCGCGCGUCAAAGUCUUCACC
rnacentral:rRNA from 1 species